UAUGACUUUCCGAAUGUUCCUGAAUGCAUCUAUCAAAUUCCACGUCACAUUCAACGGAUCUCCGUCAAUUUCCUCUGAAGUCUUGACCGACAACAGAGCAUCCUCCUUAUCUGCAUUGUGUGUGAACGGAAGACUAUUGCGGCUGGUGACUCUUUGGUGACUCUAAAGUCCUACUAGUGUUGGUGACUCCUCGGACACAUUUUACAGUGUCCUGUUGUCCAGCAUCUCUCCUCUAUCCCAUUGGCUCUCUGUCUAUCCUAUACCUUGUAUCCACUCUGUCUACAAUAUGAUUACUCUAGCUUUCCUGUCAAAUCUACCUCUCUGUCUUUGAUUUUGGAAACUCUAUCUUUGUAUCCCUCUUCUAUCCCACUCUAUCUGUAUACUGAACUGAUAUUUUGAAACCUGAAUUUUGAAACCUGAAUUUUGAAACCUGAACUCUGAAACCCAAUUUUUGGUUGCCUAAGGUCAUUGAUACCUGUCUGUCUGAACAGAACUCUGAGAGUCUCCACUCUCACGCUCUCUGUCUCUCCUCUGAACACUCUCACCCGGGUUAUUGGUACCUGAUCUACCUUUUUGAAUGAUCUGAGAGAUUCUCUUCUCUCACUCUCACCUCUUUCCAUCUCCUAUCAACU